GAUGAAGAACGUAGCGAAAUGCGAUACUUGGUGUGAAUUGCAGAAUCCCGUGAACCAUCGAGUCUUUGAACGCAAGUUGCGCCCGAAGCCAUCAGGUUGAGGGCACGUCUGCCUGGGCGUCACAUAUCGUUGCCCAAUGCCUAUUGCAGUGCAAUAGGAAUUUCUAGGGCGAAUGAUGGCUUCCCGUGCGCGUUGUUGCCUCGCGGUUGGUUGAAAAUCGAGUCCUUGGUAGGGUGUGCCAUGGUAGAUGGUGGUCGAGUUAGAACGAUACCGAUCAUGUGCAUGCUCCCCAAAAUAUGGCCUCUAUGACCCACACGCGUCUUUUGACGCUCAUGACGAGACCUCAGGUCAGGCGGGGCUACCCGCUGAAUUUAAGCAUAUCAAUAAGCGGAGGA
rnacentral:misc_RNA from 1 species